ACGGCUCAGUAACACGUGGUCAACAUACCCAGAGGACGUGGAUAACCUCGGGAAACUGAGGAUAAACCGCGAUAGACCAUAAUGUCUGGAAUGAUUUAUGGUUCAAAUCUAUAUGGCCUCUGGAUUGGACUGCGGCCGAUCAGGCUGUUGGUGAGGUAAUGGCCCACCAAACCUGAAACCGGUACGGGCUCUGAGAGGAGAAGCCCGGAGAUGGGCACUGAGACAAGGGCCCAGGCCCUAUGGGGCGCAGCAGGCGCGAAACCUUUGCAAUAGGCGAAAGCCUGACAAGGUUACUCUGAGUGAUCUCCGCUAAGGAAAUCUUUUGACACCUCUAAAAAUGGUGUAGAAUAAGGGGUGGGCAAGCCUGGUGUCAGCCGCCGCGGUAAUACCAGCACCCCGAGUGGUCGGGACGAUUAUUGGGCCUAAAGCAUCCGUAGCCGGUUCUUUAAGUCCUCCGUUAAAUCCACCUGCUUAACAGAUGGGCUGCGGAGGAUACUAUAGAGCUAGGAGGCGGGAGAGGCAAGCGGUACUCAGUGGGUAGGGGUAAAAUCCGUUGAUCCAUUGAAGACCACCAGUGGCGAAGGCGGCUUGCCAGAACGCGCUCGACGGUGAGGGAUGAAAGCUGGGGGAGCAAACCGGAUUAGAUACCCGGGUAGUCCCAGCUGUAAACGAUGCAGACUCGGUGAUGAACAGGCUUCGUGCCUGUUCAGUGCCGCAGGGAAGCCGUUAAGUCUGCCGCCUGGGGAGUACGGUCGCAAGACUGAAACUUAAGGAAAUUGGCGGGGGAG
rnacentral:rRNA from 1 species